CGCCUCCCGUCCGGUGCACCCGCGAUUUUUGUUGUUCUCUGUCAAUACGGGUGUAAUAUGCGUGCCGAAGCCGCUAAGCCGCAUUGUAAAGCCAGACGGACUAACGGGACCACUGUUAUCUGGUCGCAUAUCGGAUUCUCAAACAAUCCAAGGAUGUUGUACUCACUAUUGUAGGUACGUGGCGCAAUAUGGAAGACUAUGACAAAAAUAACGGUCCGUAUAAAAUAAAGCUAUAAUUUAGAAAAACAUUUAAGCACAAAGAAUGAAUUUUCAUAGAAGUAACGGAGCUGUGGAGUUGUUAUUGAUGAAAGCUGUACUUGGCUAACACAUCGUUCUACGAGCUGCAUUGCAUGUCAAUGAUCUCACAACAACGGGACAUAGAUAAUAAGAGAAGAGUUUAAUUACUGCAGCGUCGAGUCAGCUCAACACAGGCGGGCGUCGAGCCGUCGGCGUCGGGCGGGUGAAAGGGACACGUGGUCCUGAUACAGGAAGCCCGGGAGCUAACACACUUUUUAUUCUAUACGUACACACUCCUAAUGUCAUCGUACGUAUCACCCUGCAUCAACUACUCUCAUGUCACCGAGACCGAGAACGAUGUAAUACAAUUUAGUCUCAUAGCAAACAAACAUAAUAAAAAAUGCCGUAUGGUAUUGGCUUUUAA